AACAUCGCGCACCUGCGGGAACCUGCGGAAGGAUCAUUACCGAGUUUACAACUCCCAAACCCCUGUGAACAUACCACUCGUUGCCUCGGCGGAUCACCGCGCCCCGUGAAACGGGCCGGCCCGCCAGAGGACCUAAACUCAAAUGUUUUAUUGUAUCUUCUGAGUAAAAACACAAAUAAAUCAAAACUUUUAACAACGGAUCU
rnacentral:misc_RNA from 1 species